rnacentral:rRNA from 1 species
CGAAAGCCUGACGCAGCAACGCCGCGUGAGCGAAGACGGCCUUCGGGUUGUAAAGCUCUGUCAGGAGGGACGAAGCCACUCAGGUGAAUAGCCGAGAGGGUGACGGUACCUCCAGAGGAAGCCCCGGCUAACUACGUGCCAGCAGCCGCGGUAAUACGUAGGGGGCGAGCGUUGUCCGGAAUCAUUGGGCGUAAAGCGCGUGUAGGCGGCCAUCCAAGUCCGAUGUGAAAGCUCGGGGCUCAACCCCGAGUCUGCAUUGGAAACUGGAUGGCUUGAGUCCGGAAGAGGAGACUGGAAUUCCUGGUGUAGCGGUGAAAUGCGCAGAUAUCAGGAAGAACACCGGUGGCGAAGGCGGGUCCCUGGGACGGUACUGACGCUGAGACGCGAAAGCGUGGGGAGCAAACAGGAUUA